rnacentral:rRNA from 1 species
UACGUAGGGUGCGAGCGUUGUCCGGAAUUACUGGGCGUAAAGAGCUCGUAGGCGGUUUGUCGCGUUGUUCGUGAAAUGCCACAGCUUAACUGUGGGCGUGCGGGCGAUACGGGCAGACUGGAGUACUGCAGGGGAGACUGGAAUUCCUGGUGUAGCGGUGGAAUACGCAGAUAUCAGGAGGAACACCGGUGGCGAAGGCGGGUCUCUGGGCAGUAACUGACGCUGAGGAGCGAAAGCGUGGGGAGCGAACAGG